UACAGAGGUGGCAAGCGUUGUUCGGAAUUACUGGGCGUAAAGGGCGCGUAGGCGGCCCGUCAAGUCCCGUGUGAAAGCCCCCGGCUCAACCGGGGAACGGCGCGGGAAACUAGCAGGCUUGAGUUCGGGAGAGGGAAGCGGAAUUCCGGGUGUAGCGGUGAAAUGCGCAGAUAUCUGGAGGAACACCGGUGGCGAAGGCGGCAUCCUGGACCGGUAUUGACGCUGAGGCGCGAAAGCCAGGGGAGCAAACGGG
rnacentral:rRNA from 1 species